UACGUAGGCAGCGAGCGUCGUUCGGAAUUAUUGGGCGUAAAGAGUGUGUAGGCGGUGCUCUAAGUUCGGUGUGAAAUCUCCUGGCUUAACUGGGAGGGUGCGCCGGAAACUGGGGUGCUCGAGCGUGGGAGAGGAAAGCGGAAUUCCUGGUGUAGCGGUGAAAUGCGUAGAUACCAGGAGGAACACCUGUGGUGUAGACAGCUUUCUGGACCAUUGCUGACGCUGAGACACGAAAGCGUGGGUAGCAAACAGG
rnacentral:rRNA from 1 species